rnacentral:rRNA from 1 species
UACGAAGGGGGCUAGCGUUGCUCGGAAUCACUGGGCGUAAAGCGCACGUAGGCGGAUCGUUAAGUCAGGGGUGAAAUCCUGGAGCUCAACUCCAGAACUGCCUUUGAUACUGGCGAUCUUGAGUUCGGGAGAGGUGAGUGGAACUGCGAGUGUAGAGGUGAAAUUCGUAGAUAUUCGCAAGAACACCAGUGGCGAAGGCGGCUCACUGGCCCGGUACUGACGCUGAGGCACGAAAGCGUGGGGAGCAAACAGG